UGCUGUUAUCCAAUAGCUCGGCGAAUUUCAAACUUCCACCCUAAAGAAUUGCUCUUCCUACUCGAUCAUUCAACUGCUACAUCCUGAGCCUCCAUUACAUCCCAGAGACGGGCACAAUAUGAACAGUAGACAAAGUUCCAUCCUCAAGAUGACCUGUUCUGGGAGCGAGCAAGAUAGAGAGUUACAGGCGGUUGUGAGCCAGCAUGUGCGUGCUGGAAACCGAACUUGGAUUCCCUGAAAGAGCGACAAACAACAAGCCGGUUCCUAUUCAUCAGCCUUGCCCCACCUGCCCGCUUGACUCCCUGCUUCAGAUGCGACUUCACAGCGCUGCAGUGAUCCACAGAGCCCGGAAUCGCGCCUCUCAUCACCUGCUCAGAGGAGGUGCCAAUGACCUUCACAGUGCUGGCAUUUAGGACUUGAUGUUGCCACAAGCUGUCUUGUCCGCUGUGGGAGGCUUAGCAGUAGCUCUGGUAUCUGGUAUCUGACCCGGUGCAGUGCCACUAGGGCCAGGAGUGACAAAAGACAUCACUGACGGUCCCCAGGGAGCAAGUCGCCCUGGCUGAUUGAGACAAGCGGUUAGAAAACAAAG